rnacentral:rRNA from 1 species
AAGACGGUCUUGCUGUCACUUAUAGAUGGAUCCGCGCUGCAUUAGCUAGUUGGUAAGGUAACGGCUUACCAAGGCAACGAUGCAUAGCCGACCUGAGAGGGUGAUCGGCCACACUGGAACUGAGACACGGUCCAGACUCCUACGGGAGGCAGCAGUAGGGAAUCUUCCGCAAUGGGCGAAAGCCUGACGGAGCAACGCCGCGUGAGUGAUGAAGGUCUUCGGAUCGUAAAACUCUGUUAUUAGGGAAGAACAUAUGUGUAAGUAACUGUGCACAUCUUGACGGUACCUAAUCAGAAAGCCACGGCUAACUACGUGCCAGCAGCCGCGGUAAUACGUAGGUGGCAAGCGUUAUCCGGAAUUAUUGGGCGUAAAGCGCGCGUAGGCGGUUUUUUAAGUCUGAUGUGAAAGCCCACGGCUCAACCGUGGAGGGUCAUUGGAAACUGG